AUUGAACGCUGGCGGCAUGCCUUACACAUGCAAGUCGAACGGCAGCGGGGGAGAAGCUUGCUUUUCCUGCCGGCGAGUGGCGAACGGGUGAGUAAUACAUCGGAACGUGCCCUGUAGUGGGGGAUAACUAGUCGAAAGAUUAGCUAAUACCGCAUACGACCUGAGGGUGAAAGUGGGGGACCGCAAGGCCUCAUGCUAUAGGAGCGGCCGAUGUCUGAUUAGCUAGUUGGUGGGGUAAAGGCCUACCAAGGCGACGAUCAGUAGCUGGUCUGGGAGGACGAUCAGCAACACUGGGACUGAGACACGGCCCAGACUCCUACGGGAGGCAGCAGUGGGGAAUUUUGGACAAUGGGCGAAAGCCUGAUCCAGCAAUGCCGCGUGUGUGAAGAAGGCCUUCGGGUUGUAAAGCACUUUUGUCCGGAAAGAAAUGGCUCUGGUUAAUACCUGGGGUCGAUGACGGUACCGGAAGAAUAAGGACCGGCUAACUACGUGCCAGCCGCCGCCGUAACAC
rnacentral:rRNA from 1 species